rnacentral:snRNA from 1 species
AAAUGAUAUCAGUCACCUCACUGAUCGUCAGGGUUGGUUCACCUGAUUCGAAGGACCAGACAGGCGCCUUGCGCAUGCCCAGUGGGAGAGGCCGCCCUUCUCCCAUAGAGGACUACUCUUCAGUCAAGGGUGUGCAAGCAGCUGGGCUCCCCCCGUCAGAACCUCCAAACACGUUCUCAAGGUCUUAUUACUUCUAGUUUGUAUAUGAGGAAAUGGUGCUCGCCAUUAUUCUUAAUACGAAGCUACCCCUUUUACCUGGAAUGCCCCCCU